AUAACAUCAAACAAAGGGCACCUUAAUUUCCACAUUUUCCUCCACUGAACAAUAACCAGCUGUUAUAAAAGUUGGUGGCUAAAGAAUUCAUUAACAAAGAUUGACAUUUUAUAUUUCAAGCAAAAUGAUAGGCCAGUGAACUAGCCAUUCAUGAUUAAUUCAGUCUUUCCCAUUGAAAUGUUUAAAUUAUUUAACAGAUGCUCACUAUUUUCUCAGGAAGCCAUGAUUUAUAGAUGGAUGGAGAAAUCUAAUCAUAGCAGUGCAAAAGAAACGUGGCCUGGGUUAAUUCCUGUUUCAAUGGCAACAUAGUAUGAGGCUUGGAGAAAUGUUCUUUGAAGCAGAAGAGCAAAGAAAAGGAGGACUGCCAGAACAUAAGCAUUGGCCAGAAAUUCUUGAGAUGAAAUGAAGAAGACGCCAAGUAUUUUAGUCUGUGGAACAACAAUAAAAGGUUAUUCAAAAUCUA